GUACAGGUACUAGCGUAGUGGUUUGAGCACUGGUCUACAACUCUGGAGUCUAGUGUUCGAAUCCCUGCUUGGCCA